rnacentral:rRNA from 1 species
GUGGAUGCCUUGGCGAUUACAGGCGACGAAGGACGUGAUAGCCUGCGAUAAGCUUCGGGGAGCUGGCAA